rnacentral:rRNA from 1 species
GAUGAACGCUAGCGGCAGGCCUAACACAUGCAAGUCGAGGGGUAACUAGAGUGAUAGCAAUAUUACUUUGGCUAGACCGGCGCACGGGUGCGUAACACGUAUGCAACCUACCUUAUGCUGGGGAAUAACUUCGAGAAAUCGGCGCUAAUACCCCAUAACACUGCGAAGAGGCAUCUCUUUGCAAUUAAAGCUCCGGCGGUAUAAGAUGGGCAUGCGUCCAAUUAGCUAGUUGGUGAGGUAACGGCUCACCAAGGCUACGAUUGGUAGGGGUUCGGGGAGGAUGGUCCCCGACACUGGUACUGGGACACGGACCAGACUCCUGCCGGAGGCAGCAGUGAGGAAUAUUGCGCAAUGGACGAAAGUCUGACGCAGCCAUGCCGCGUGCAGGAUGACGGCCCUAUGGGUUGUAAACUGCUUUUGUACGGGAAUAAACCCUUCUACGUGUAGGAGGCUGAAGGUACCGUAAGAAUAAGCACCGGCUAACUCCGUGCCAGCCGCCGCAGUAACAC